rnacentral:rRNA from 1 species
CCUACGGGAGGCAGCAGUGGGGAAUAUUGGGCAAUGGGCGCAAGCCUGACCCAGCAACGCCGCGUGAAGGAAGAAGGCUUUCGGGUUGGAAACUUCUUUUCUGAGGGACGAAGAAAGUGACGGUACCGCAGGACUAAGCAACGGCUAACGACGGGCCAGCAGCCGCGGUAAGACGUAGGUGGCAAGCGUUAACCGGAUUUAUGGUGUGUAAAGGGCGUGUGGGCGGGACAGCAAGUCAGAUGUGAAAACUCAGGUCUCAACCCUGAGCCUGCAUUUGAAACUGUUUUUCUUGAGUGCUGUAGAGGCAAUCGGAAUUCCGUGUGUAGCGGUGAAAUGCGUAGAUAUCCGGAGGAACACCAGUGGCGAAGGCGGCUUGCUGGACCGUACCUGACGCUGAGGCGCGAAAGCGUGGGGAGCAAACAGGAUUAGAUACCCCAGUAGUC